GGAAGGAGAAUAUUGUGUCAGGAAGGGGAUACAAGUUUAGGGGUCUUCCAGGCUACACAGAGGGUCUACCAGAGGGUCUACCAGAUGGUCUACCAGAGGGUCUACCAGAAGGUCCUCACAGAGGGUCUACCAGAGGGUCCUCACAGAGGGUCUACCAGAGGGUCUACCAGAGGGUCCUCACAGAGGGUCUACCAGAGGGUCUACCAGAGGGUCUACCAGAGGGUCCUCACAGAGGGUCUACCAGAGGGUCUACCAGAGGGUCCUCACAGAGGGUCUACCAGAAGGUCCUCACAGAGGGUCUACCAGAGGGUCCUCACAGAGGGUCUACCAGAGGGUCCUCACAGAGGGUCUACCAGAGGGUCUACCAGAGGGUCCUCACAGAGGGUCUACCAGAGGGUCUACCAGAGGGUCCUCACAGAGGGUCUACCAGAGGGUCCUCACAGAGGGUCUACCAGAGGGUCCUCACAGAGGGUCCUCACAGAGGGUCUACCAGAGGGUCCUCACAGAGGGUCUACCAGAGGGUCCUCACAGAGGGUCUACCAGAGGGUCCUCACAGAGGGUCCUCACAGAGGGUCUACCAGAGGGUCCUCACAGAGGGUCUACCAGAGGGUCUACCAGAGGGUCCUCACAGAGGGUCCU
rnacentral:lncRNA from 1 species